rnacentral:snRNA from 1 species
AUCGCUUCUCGGCUCUCUGAGCUAAGAUCAUAUGUAGUAUCUUUUCUUUGCAGUGCAAUUUCUUCAACGGUCUCUAAACUGAGACCAAUGAAAUUACCUGUAUUUUUCCCUUACGGACGGGUGCUGUG